rnacentral:rRNA from 1 species
UACGGAGGGGGCUAGCGUUGUUCGGAAUUACUGGGCGUAAAGCGCACGUAGGCGGCUUUGCAAGUUAGAGGUGAAAGCCCGGGGCUCAACUCCGGAAUUGCCUUUAAAACUGCAUUGCUAGAAUUGUGGAGAGGUAAGUUGGAAUUCCGAGUGUAGAGGUGAAAUUCGUAGAUAUUCGGAAGAACACCAGUGGCGAAGGCGACUUACUGGACACAUAUUGACGCUGAGGUGCGAAAGCGUGGGGAGCAA